UCAGCUGAGCCCCUCAGCCAAGAGAAGGCGCCGACGGGGAAAACAGGUUCCAGGCGGGGCCAAAGGCGGCGCAGGCAGAGGAGGAGGAAGCCAAGGAGGGAGCCGCAGCAGCGGGACCCCGAGGGAGGGUGGAGGAGGAGGAGGGCAGGAGGUGCUGCAGGCCCGGAGCAGGGAUCCCCUCAGCCCUGCAGAGACCCCGCGGGAGCAGAGACCCCCCUGCAGCCCGGGGAGGGCCCCACGCCGCAGCAGGGGGGGAUUUCCUGCAGGAGCUGCGGCCCUGCAGAGCCCCGGCGGGAGCGGGGGGGGCCCUGAAGGGUGCGGGCGGGGAAGGGCCCGCGCUGGAGCAGGGGUGAGGAGGGAGCUGCGGGCGAGAGGGGGUGUGCUGGGCUGAGCGCGACCCCAUCCGCACCCCUGCGCCUCGGGGAGAGGGAUCAUGAGCGGAGCGGUGAAAAUGGGGAUGGGAAGAAGGAACUGAGGGGAAAGUGUUUUUUUACUCGUUUCUUUGUUUCUCACCAUCCAACUCAAAUUUAAUUGACAGAAAAAUGCAUUAAUUUCUCCAACUACAGUCUAUUUUGCCUGUGAUAGUAACUGGUUAUAUCAUAUCAAGGAGCCUAUCCAGUAUAUUUCACCUUCCGGAUCAAGAGACAAUGGAAAGUCAAAGAGGAGAAUUCUGGGUAGAGGACUAAGUUGCUGACAAAGGCUUCACUGAAAAUGGUAUCUAAGUUGGCAACUUUUAACUUUUCUCAGUGAGGAUAUCAAGAGCUCUAUGUGUCUAAGAAAAGAAUAAUAACAAAAUCAAGAUCUGAGAAAAGCAUUUUAUCCUCAAUCAUUAGUAUGCUACAGAGGACUUCAGCUAAGAGAAACAGGAGUUUUCACAUGAACUUUGCAGCUA